CCUACGGGUGGCAGCAGUCGAGAAUCAUUCACAAUGGGGGAAACCCUGAUGGUGCGACGCCGCGUGGGGGAAUGAAGGUCUUCGGAUUGUAAACCCCUGUCAUGAGGGCGCAAAUUAACCAGAUAGUAACACAAGAGGAAGAGACGGCUAACUCUGUGCCAGCAGCCGCGGUAAUACAGAGGUCUCAAGCGUUGUUCGGAAUUACUGGGCGUAAAGGGUGCGUAGGCUGUUUCGUAAGUCGUUUGUGAAAGGCGCGGGCUUAACCCGCGGACGGCAAAUGAGACUGCGAGACUAGAGUGAUGGAGGGGGAAGCGGAAUGCUCCGUGUAGCAGUGAAAUGCGUAGAUAUGGAGAGGAACACUGGUGGCGAAGGCGGGUUCCUGGACAUUAACUGACGCUGAGGCACGAAGGCCAGGGGAGCGAAAGGGAUUAGAUACCCCUGUAGUC
rnacentral:rRNA from 1 species